UACUCUUCGCAGCGAAAGGUUCCAUUUAUCAUUUGCGACUUCAGAAUCGGAUGAAAUGUAUGAAAGGAGAUUGAUCUAGGUUUUUUAUUUUCUUUUUGUUAGAAAGUGAUUCUAAAGAGGCAAGUCUCUGCGAGAAAUGUUGAUUCGUUGCUGAGAAUUGGGCACUGAUUUCGUUUUUGAUAGACAUAGCAUUGUGCAGCAUUUUUCUUUUCUUUUAGGGAAUGAAGUGUGUGUUAUUAGUUUAGAAUUACAAGAGCCACUUGUUUACUUAAUGGUUCAUGACUCGUGUGUUUAUAAAUUUAGCUGUAAUGUGAUUAUGAAUGUGAUUUACUAAUUACUAGGUUCAAGAUUAAUUUAUUUGAGUCUAGUUUAGAAAUAUCAAAAGAAGCAUGUAAUAUGCGUAUUUUGGAAUUUGUUUUCUGUUAGUAUGGAAUGCUAGGUAGUAAGGCUUGUGGAUUUUUGUUGUGGUUUGAAUCACCUUUAGCGGUUUUUUAUGUAUGGGCAGACAUGAGGUCGAGGAAAUUGAACAAAAGAAACAAGGUGCUGGGAGGUUUUCCUGAGUUUGGUGCAAUCUUCAUGUCUAAUAGAAGUACUUUGCAAGAAUGUUUUGAGAAGAGAUUGUUUGGGCUACCUGUUGGUUACUCUGAUUUUGUUUGAAACGUAAAGGAAGGAAUGCCUUUGUUUCUUUUUGAAUUUGAAGAAAGAAAACUUUAUGAGAUUUUUGAAGCAACAUCAGAUGGUGGCAUGAACAUUUUUCCACAGGCAUAUGUUUCAACAGGAAGGUCAUUCCCUGUGCAGUUAAAUUCAAAAUAAUAUGGCACUGUGAUCCUUUAUCUGAAGAUGAGUUUUAUGGUGCCAUUCAAGAUAACUACUUUGGUUCCCACAAAUUCAACUUCGGUCUCACUAAGGAGCAGAUUGAGAGCCUUCUGCAGUUGUUCAGUUCAAGAAAGCUUGAAGUCCCAAGAACUUCAUGUAAAAAAAAGGAAGAAUAAAAACAGGGUUACAAGUCUAUAAAAGAUGUGGGGAAGAAAGGGAAGUUUGCGGAGGUUGAAAUCUUCAGAAGGAAGCUUGACAAAAAUCAUGGCAGUUCAGAUAUUUUAGAGCUACAAGUGGAAACAUUUUUGGCAUCUAUUGCUUGUGGAAAAUCUGAAAUCACCCAUUCUGAUGAUGCCUAUGAUCCUGAAAAUCCUGGUUUCCAUCAUUCAGUUGCAACCUAAGGAUUUCACUGCUGCUUGUAGCGAAUCACAUGAGCUGGUUGCCAUGCAAUCAAAGAAACAAAACUUCAAUUUUUCUGCAGAAGACACUGAAGAAUAUAUACCCUUGUGUUUACCAGAUUCUGCUGAGCCUGAAGAAGAGGGGUUUGCUGUUGGUGAAUGUACAGAACAGACAGAGAUAGGUAUAUUUGUUGACAACAAAUUGUCUACUAUCCCUGUGCCUCAAUUACCACUUGUGUCUAAUCUGAGUGAUGAAGGAUGUAACCAGAAGAAAAUGGAGGAUUCAGUCACUUCUUCAGAUGGAAGUCCAUGCUCUGGAUUAGAUAAGUCGUCCUUGGCUGCUAUUACCUUGUCAGAUGCAACUGGCUUUCAGUCCAAACCUGGAAGUAAUCAUUGUGAACCACAGCCAGCCAAGGGUUUGUAUUCUGACAACCUGAAAAAGAGGGUCUGUGUUUUCCCGGUUAACUUUCAAAGAAUCAAAAUGAUCUCAGAAUGAAGUUAGUGGAUUGUAAGUUGAGAGUCAAGCGGCAUAGUUAUGUUGAGCACGAAAACAUUGACAUUGUUACAGCCCAUGGGAAUGAAAAUGAUGAUGAUAAUGUGGAUGUUACAACUAGGGCGUACUGGUACUUGAACACUGCUUCAAAUAAUGUUCCUUAACAACUCUUGCAUUUCCAGUCUGAAGGAGGGAAAUUGUUAAGGACAAAUUUCCCAGAAUACAAACAUUAUGAUAAAGUUGACAUACCAGGAAUAUUGAGUUCCUAUUAUAACAGGACGUUUCAAGAUCACUGCCAAAAUUUUAGGAUUGGAUAGUACAUAGUAGUAUAUUUAGAUUGCUGUUUGGAAACUGCAUAGUUUUCC